CGGAGGGUGCAAGCGUUAUCCGGAUUCACUGGGUUUAAAGGGUGCGUAGGAGGGCAGGUAAGUCAGUGGUGAAAUCCCCGAGCUUAACUUGGGAACUGCCGUUGAUACUAUCUGUCUUGAAUAUUGUGGAGGUGAGCGGAAUAUGUCAUGUAGCGGUGAAAUGCUUAGAUAUGACAUAGAACACCAAUUGCGAAGGCAGCUCGCUACACAUAUAUUGACUCUGAGGCACGAAAGCGUGGGGAUCAAACAGGAUUAGAUACCCUGGUAGUCCACGCCCUAAACGAUGGAUACUCGACAUACGCGAUACACAGUGUGUGUCUGAGCGAAAGCAUUAAGUAUCCCACCUGGGAAGUACGACCGCAAGGUUG
rnacentral:rRNA from 1 species